rnacentral:snRNA from 1 species
AUCGCUUCUCGGCCUUUUGGCUAAGAUCAAGUGUAGUAUCUGUUCUUAUCAGUUUAAUAUCUGAUACGUCCCCUAUCUGGGGACAUAUAUUAAAUGGAUUUUUGGAACAGGGAGAUGGAAGAAGAGCUUGCUCGUCCACCUCAACGCAUCGACCUGGUAUUGCAGUACCUCCAGGACCGGUGCACCUCUC